GAAAUCAAUUUCCAGGGGUUGCCAAGCACAGCUGACAGAACUUGAGGCACCUAGGGGAAGAGACAGACAAAUUGUUGUACCCCAUCUCCUCACUGCCUUCCCAGUGGAUUGGCACACAGGUAGGAAUCUUACCAACACACACACAGGGAUAGUGACUCAUCUA
rnacentral:lncRNA from 1 species